UUUUUCUUGCGUGAAGGUUGCUUUCUCAGGAAGGAGUGUUCUGUAGCCAGAGAGCCUAUCACAAGUUAGGGCUUUGAAAAUAGAAAGUGUUGAGAAGACUGUGGCGGGAAUAGAGACCUCAGGGUGACCCAGGAGGUUAAACUUAGCAGCUGCAUUGAGCUCUUUGGGGAAGUGGAGAAUGGACCUGGACUGUUGGAAGAACGGAACAGUGGGCUACACUCUUAACAAAUGUGAUUCAUGCAUAUGCUGUCCUCUUUUUGAAUAGAUCCCAUGAGGUACAAGUUUCCUACAAGUCUUUCACAGAAAGUAAGAUCAUUCUCUAUAAAGCAAUCUUAUGUUUUUGUGCAAAUCUUCCAUGCAUGCUGACUGCUGCUGUAGACAUGCUGGUCGUUACUUACUGCAGUGGCACUGCAGACUCUAAGUGUUUAUUCCUAUUUUUAGUGCUGUCAAGUUCACAGAAAUUGUGAAAAUAAAAACCAGUUGUGCU
ensembl:lncRNA